UCAUGGCUCAGGAUGAACGCUGGCGGCGUGCUUAACACAUGCAAGUCGAACGAAGCACUUUGAUCGAUUUCUUCGGAUUGAAAUUUAGUGACUGAGUGGCGGACGGGUGAGUAACGCGUGGGUAACCUGCCUCACACAGGGGGAUAACAGUUGGAAACGGCUGCUAAUACCGCAUAAGCGCACAGUACCGCAUGGUACAGUGUGAAAAACUCCGGUGGUGUGAGAUGGACCCGCGUCUGAUUAGCUAGUUGGCAGGGUAACGGCCUACCAAGGCGACGAUCAGUAGCCGACCUGAGAGGGUGACCGGCCACAUUGGGACUGAGACACGGCCCAAACUCCUACGGGAGGCAGCAGUGGGGAAUAUUGCACAAUGGGGGAAACCCUGAUGCAGCGACGCCGCGUGAGCGAAGAAGUAUUUCGGUAUGUAAAGCUCUAUCAGCAGGGAAGAAGAAAUGACGGUACCUGACUAAGAAGCACCGGCUAAAUACGUG
rnacentral:rRNA from 1 species